rnacentral:rRNA from 1 species
UACGUAGGGUGCAAGCGUUGUCCGGAAUUAUUGGGCGUAAAGAGCUCGUAGGCGGUUCGUCGCGUCGGCUGUGAAAACCUGAGGCUCAACCUCAGGCCUGCAGUCGAUACGGGCGGACUUGAGUACUGCAGGGGAGACUGGAAUUCCUGGUGUAGCGGUGGAAUGCGCAGAUAUCAGGAGGAACACCAAUGGCGAAGGCAGAUCUCUGGGCCGUAACUGACGCUGAGGAGCGAAAGCAUGGGGAGCGAACAGG